rnacentral:rRNA from 1 species
AACGAACGCUGGCGGCGCGCCUAAUACAUGCAAGUCGAGCGAGAAGACGUAGCAAUACGUUUGUAAAGCGGCGAACGGGUGAGGAAUACAUGGGUAACCUACCCUCGAGUGGGGAAGUAACUAGCCGAAGGUUAGGCUAAUACCGCGUACGCUCCUUGGACUUCGGUUCAGGAGGAAAGCGAUACCGUGGGUAGUCGCGCUCUUGGAUGGGCGUCAUGUCCUAUCAGCUUGUUGG